ACUUUUGAAAGAUAAUAGUAAUCUAUU
rnacentral:tRNA from 2 species